UAAAAUGUCACCUUUUUCAAAUAUUACUUUUCAUAUAAACAUGAUACCUUGCAUACUGUUUCAUUUUCACUUUUGUGUUUUCUGGUACCAAGGCCUCAUAAUUUGACUUUUAUGAAUUUCUAAUAUAUAUUCUACUUGAUAAACUUAGAUGCCUUUUUUUUAAGUGAAAUAUAUCCCAUUGAAACUUCGGUUUGCUUCAAUUAUGUAGGUCAAUUUGAAAAUAGCUUUUAUCUUUAUAGAACUAUUUUAUUUGUUCUGAAAUAUGUGUCUCUACCUAUUAGCUUCUUGAAUGCCCUUUAAUGAAAUUUUUUACAAAUAUCUCUUUCUUUGUCUGUCUCAAAUGCUUCUCAUUAUGUUUGUUCAAAAUACUAUGUUCUUUUGUUUCUGUUAUGAAUUAUAUCAUUUUUUGCCGUUAUAUUUCUAAAUGACUCUUUGUUGUAUUAAAGAAUUUGCCAUUUACUCUGUUUUCUAUUGCUUAGAACAUAAUACCUGAAAUCGAGUAAUUUGUGAAGAAAAAGAAUUUCUUUUUUACAGUUUUAGAGGCCGAGUACUCCAAAGUUAAGGGGCCACGCCUGAUGAGAGCCUUCUUUCUGGUGGGGAAUUUCAGCAGAGUUCCGAAGCUGCCUAGAGUAUCACAUGAUGAGGGGGCUGUUUGUUAGCUCAAGUCUCUCUGCCUCUACUUAUAAAGUCAGCAGUCCCAUUUGCAUGAUAACCCAUUAAUCCAUGAGUGGAUUAAUCCAUUCAUGAGAGCGAGCCAUCAGGACCCAAUCACUUCUUAAAGGCUCCACCUUUCAAUACUGACACAUUGGGGAUUAAGUUUCAAAAUGAGUUUUGGAGUGGACAAACAUUCAAAUCAUAGCAUCACCCCCAUUCAAAGUUCUUUAGUUCUACCAAUUUUUCUGAGUCCUUGUUUUUUUUUUCUUGCAAAUAAUUAUAUAUGCAAAUAAUGUGAGCUCUUUUGCUUUUCCCUUAUCUAUAAUUUAUUUUGUUAGUUGUAUAAUGUGGCAACUCCUUUUACAGUUAGUUGCAUAGUGUUGCAACUAAUAAAGUAUUUUAUUCGUUGCACUUCUGAAACAAAUCUAAGUAAGUCACAGUGGUGUGGACUUCUACCAUGUUGUUUCCAGGCUACAAUUCAGAAGUGUGCAAAUUUGAGCAACCUAUGGAAACACAUCAUGUGCAGGCUUGCGUCUGCCUCCAGCAGGACUCUUGUAAGUACUGAGCUGCAAAGAAAUAUAUAUUAUAUUGUAUCUUUUUGUAUUUUUUAAAAAGAAUACUGAACCAUUUAAAGAAUUUUGUGAUUAAAAAGGUCUAACAAAAAGGUUAGUUUCCUGGCUGAUUUUUGUCUCUUUAAAAAAUAGGCAAAGUAGAAAAGAAAGGUAGAGGGUAUAAAAUGCAGCAAUGUCUUCCCAGGAAAGAGAGCAAGAAGUGUUUCUCACUUAGGUUAAGGAUAUCCAGAUGGAUAACUGCUAACUGGAGCUCAGAGUACACACUUGGAGUGGAAGAGGUUGGAAAGCUGGGAAGAAUGGAUGGCAUGGUCCUAGAAAGGGCUGGAAGUGGAACACAACAGCCACCAGGAAGCCAAACACCUGGAUACAGUAUUACAAGUAGAGACCUCAGUCACCCUGACACUUCUACAACCAGGAGAGAAGUUUAAAAAAUGGGAAGUUGUCCUCUGCAGUUUUUUGUUGUUGUUGAUGAUGAUCUUCCUGUCAUAGACAAUGCUGUAAAGAACAGACUAAACACGGAGAUCUUUCGUGACUCAGCGAUGGCUGGAUUCAGAGGACAAAAGAUUGGUACAAGCAGUGACUUUUCUCCAUCUCUUGGUUCUGUCUGCCUCUGUUUUGGCCCUGGGCAGACAAGCAUGCCCCAUUGUGGUGCAAAGAAGGCUAUGGAAGUUUCAGCCUCCUAUCAUUCUGGG